ACAUCCCGACUCGCACUCUCUGGAAACAAGAGAGGUCGAGUUCGGCUGGAUCGGUGACAGGUGCUGCAUGGCUGUCGUCAGCUCGUGUCGUGAGAUGUUGGGUUAAGUCCCGCAACGAGCGCAACCCUCGUCCUUAGUUGCCAGCAUUCAGUUGGGCACUCUAAGGAGACUGCCGGUGUUAAACCGGAGGAAGGCGGGGAUGACGUCAAGUCCUCAUGGCCCUUAUGUCCAGGGCUACACACGUGCUACAAUGGCCGGUACAAAGGGUAGCAAGACCGCGAGGUGGAGCCAAUCCCAAAAAGCCGGUCUCAGUUCGGAUUGGAGUCUGCAACUCGACUCCAUGAAGUUGGAAUCGCUAGUAAUCGUGGAUCAGCAUGCCACGGUGAAUACGUUCCCGGGCCUU
rnacentral:rRNA from 1 species